rnacentral:lncRNA from 1 species
CUUUCUCCUAUGUCUUCUUCCUUAUUUUCUAUAUCCUUUCCCCAUCUCCUUUCUCAGUUUGCUUACUAUUCAGAUACGCAGUACCAUGGAAGAUUAGAGCAAAAGGCAGGCUACAAAAGAAUAAUGGACAGCAUAAUGAAUCAUUAAUAGCAAAAUGAGUUAAUGCAACAAAAAGUGUUCCAUUUGAAACAAAGUUACCUUUUUUGUGCUGAAUUCCAUAAACCAGUUCUUUCUGCGUAAUUUUUUUUAAAAAAAAAAAUCAACUAUCUUCUAUUCUCGAAUCUUAUUCAGGGUUCUGUAAAUGGCCCACGAGA